UGCUGGGGUGUUUAAACGUCAACGCCGCAGAUAUUCAGCAUCUGGCAUCUUGGCUUCCUGCUUAUUAAACCUGGUAUUUCUACUGAUACAGUA
ensembl:snoRNA